rnacentral:rRNA from 1 species
GACGGGACCCGCACAAGCAGCGGAGCGUGUGGUUUAAUUCGAUGCUACACGAAGAACCUUACCAGGGUUUGACAUGCAAGUGGUAGGAAACUGAAAAGGGACCGACCCUUCGGGGAGCUUGCACAGGUGCUGCAUGGCUGUCGUCAGCUCGUGUCGUGAGAUGUUCGGUUAAGUCCGCUAACGAGCGCAACCCUCACUGUGUGUUAUAUGUGUCACACGGGACUGCCGGUUUUAAGCCGGAGGAAGUGGGGAUGACGUCAAGUCAGCAUGGCCUUUAUAUCCUGGGCUACACACACGCUACAAUGGCCGGUACAAAGGGCUGCGAUACCGCGAGGUGGAGCGAAUCCCAGAAAGCCGGUCUCAGUUCGGAUUGGGGUCUGCAACUCGACCCCAUGAAGUCGGAGUCGCUAGUAAUCGCAGAUCAGCAACGCUGCGGUGAAUACGUUCCCGGGCCUU